UACGUAGGGUGCAAGCGUUAAUCGGAAUUACUGGGCGUAAAGCGCGUCGCAGGUGGUUUCUUAAGUCUGAUGUGAAAGCCCACGGCUCAACCGUGGAGGGUCAUUGGAAACUGGGGAACUUGAGUGCAGAAGAGGAAAGUGGAAUUCCAAGUGUAGCGGUGAAAUGCGUAGAGAUUUGGAGGAACACCAGUGGCGAAGGCGACUUUCUGGUCUGUAACUGACACUGAGGCGCGAAAGCGUGGGGAGCGAACAGG
rnacentral:rRNA from 1 species